CAGUCGCCGCGGGAAUACAGAGGGUGCAAGCGUUAAUCGGAUUUACUGGGCGUAAAGCGUGCGUAGGCGGCUUCUUAAGUCGGAUGUGAAAUCCCUGAGCUUAACUUAGGAAUUGCAUUCGAUACUGAGAAGCUGGAGUAUGGGAGAGGAUGGUAGAAUUCCAGGUGUAGCGGUGAAAUGCGUAGAGAUCUGGAGGAAUACCGAUGGCGAAGGCAGCCAUCUGGCCUAAUACUGACGCUGAGGUACGAAAGCAUGGGGAGCAAACAGGAUUAGAUACCCCGGUAGUCCCUGUCUCUUAUAC
rnacentral:rRNA from 1 species